ensembl:lncRNA PI4KAP1 phosphatidylinositol 4-kinase alpha pseudogene 1
AAAAAAUUAACUGGGCAUGGUGGUGGGCACCUGUAGUCCCAGCUACUCGGGAGGCUGAGGCAGGAGAAUCUCUUGAACCCAGGAGGCAGAGGUUGCAGUGAGCCAAGAUCAUGCCACUGCACUCCAGCCUGGCGACAGAGCGAGACUCCAUUUAAAAAAAAAAACACCAGGGCAUCUGUAAGCCACUUUGGGAGUCAAAAGAAUGUAGAGCUGGGCUGGACUCCUUAGAAGAAAGUUAAGUUCUGAGUGUGGGAGGAAGUGCCUGCACCCCCACAUCCAGACAGCCCGUCACUCCUGCUGCCGAAGACUGACUUGCUGAUUCGGGCUCUGCCUCCAUAGUGGGGGCACAGAGCCAGGGAGAGUGCCCACAGGCCCAGGGAUCCUGGGUGUGGGACCAGGGAGAAUGCCCACAGGCCCCAGGGCCUUUUUGAGCCCAGGGCGCUCUCUGCACAGGCCUGCUACAACUUCAUCCGAAGCAUGGCCGCCUACAGCCUCCUGCUGUUCCUGCUGCAGAUCAAGGACAGACACAACGGCAACAUUAUGCUGGACAAGAAGGGCCAUAUCAUCCACAUCGGUCAGCCAGCCACAGCGCCACCCUCCUCUCCCUUCACCCCGGCACCCAGGGGUGGAUAGGGAUCCCCACCCCACAGAGAGGAGAAUGCCCAGGACCACCCUGCCAGGAGUGUCAGGGUCCAGCUCUGAGGUCCGAACUGUCGGCCACCAAGCUGUUCUGCUGUAGAGGGUGCCUGGCCCCGGCCCCAGGGAGCUGGGGCGAGAGCCGCCAUUGCUCUGAGUCAGAAGCUGGAGCUGGGCGGAGUGGGGCUCGUCCAGGUUCAGUGCCCCAGCUUGGCUCCUUCCUCCACUUCCUCCCUUCUCUUUCUCUGCCUGCUGCCCCACCACCCACCCCAUCACUGUCUCCAAGAAAACACAACCUGCCUUUUGGGGGUGGAGGGGGUGCUCCUGUUGCAGAGUCCUUUUCCACUCCUCAAAACAGACCACUCGUCCUUGCCCGCCCUGGCUCCUACCCAGUCACAGGCAGCUCUUUGGGGUUUUGCAGACUUUGGCUUCAUGUUUGAAAGCUCGCCGGGCGGCAAUCUCGGCUGGGAACCCGACAUCAAGCUGACGGAUGAGAUGGUGAUGAUCAUGGGGGGCAAGAUGGAGGCCACACCCUUCAAGUGGUUCAUGGAGAUGUGUGUCCAGGCUACCUGGCUGUGCGGCCCUACAUGGAUGUGGUCGUCUCCCUGGUCACUAUCAUGUUGGACACGGGCCUGCCCUGUUUUCGCGGCCAGACAAUCAAGUUCUUGAAGCACAGGUUUAGCCCCAACAUGACUGAGCGCGAGGCUGCAAAUUUCAUCAUGAAGGUCAUCCAGAGCUGCUUCCUCAGCAACAGGAGCCGGACCUACAACAUGAUCCAGUACUAUCAGAAUGACAUCCCCUACUGAGGAGGGGACCUUCGAGGGCCUCUGCCCCAUGUGCCCUUGAAGCUGCCCCACAAUCAUGGAGCCCUGCGACCUACCCGCCCUGCCGCCACAUGCAGUGGAGGAGAGGCCUGUGGCCCGAAGAGCCUGGUAGCGCCUCCUGGGGCAGCACGUGGGUGGCGCAGGCUUAGUAACGCCGUGGACUGCAGCGACAAUCAGUGGAUGGUGCUGUCUAUGCACAGGUGUGAGUCCUCUGUUUGCACUGGACAUAUUCCCUACCUGUUUUAUUUCAUAGGUACAUGAAGUAUUGUGUAUAAAAAAAGAGAUAAGAUUUAACCAACAUCAACAAAAUAAAAACCCAAAAUAGUG